GUGAAUUUUGGGUGAAAAGACAUUGUGAAAUUUGGGUUAAACAUCAGAGUAUUCUUCACUCACCCAAAUUUUCCUUUUUCUGUUAUAAUACAAACCCUUCUCUCCCUGUAGAGGAUAAAGACCAGUGAACCGCUCGAUAGCAAAUGUACAAACAAGAAAUGAUAAGCUUGUUAUAUAUGGCAAAACAAGCUUUGAGUGAUGUGCUUGCUAAUUUGUUAUUUACAGUCAGAAAACGUGUAAAUGGGUCCGAGACUGAAGACUCCAUGAUGCAUAUAUAGGCAACUAUUUGCGUCUUUUGUAAUCAUUGCUUUAUUCAUUUCUAUGUUGGUUCUCUUCACUCUUCACUUUUUACUUCGAAAUGAAUUUUACUUCAUUCUCCUACUCUUUUUGACGACAAUAUUCAUUUCCUUUGAGAACAUUUUUUACUUUCUAGAAGACUUGUUGUGAGUCCAAGACAUCAAGAACUUAAUUAUUGUUUUAGUUUAAACUUUGGCCCUCUUCAAUAAGUGGCCCAUCUUGCAUUUGCUCCCUCUAUAAAACCGGACAAGCCUCAUACACUCCUCACUCUACAUAUGACAUGAAAAAGGGGUCUUAAGUCUUAACUCUUCAAAGUUGUUGCCUUAACCCCAUUAACCCUUUCCUAUUUAAGCCAAGUUUAGCCAAACCACCUGCUAUAUAGUGUUUUCCAUCAAAUUGAGCCAACUUCAAUAUGCUAGCUCCACCAAGGGAGUGUCCAUGCACUUGGCAAACAGGUCUGAGGCACCUUCAAAGAGCAAGACAGCGAGCCAAAAGGAAGAGAUGGAGAAAAUAUACUAGUGCUGCCUUUCUUUUGAGAAUGGGAGAUUUUGGGAAAAUAAAUAAUAAAUAAGUUGGCCGUCUAGAAGUCUUGAUGCACAAGAACUGUGUUCAAGAAUUCACACAAAAGUCGGCCAUUCCGCUGCCGAUAUAUAAAUCUAUAAAUGAGGGUUCAGAGGAUCGCACCUGACUGAAUGGAGUGGAGUGCCUUAUAUCUCUCCAAAUACUUUUUCAAAAUGUAAAACAGCAGUACAAAACAAUGCUGAACAUGCAGAAAGAGCAGAGAAAGUAAUAUCAGUCAAGGUGGUGCCAGAAACAGGAAAAUCCUGUGAUUUCAGAUUCGACAACCUCAGAGCUAUGUAUGCGGCAGAGGAAAAGAAGAAGAGUGAGAGUUUGAAAAGGACCAAAUAAAUAUUGUAUAUUGUUCUGAAGAAGUAAGAAGAAGAGUGAGAGUUUGAAAAGGAGGAAAUAAAUAUUGUAUAUUGUUCUGAAGAUCGAGGAUUAAAAUAGUAAAUUUCUUAAAAGUGAUUGGUUAAAUUUGUUUACGUUUACAGUUUCA